rnacentral:rRNA from 1 species
AACGAAUGCUGGCGGUGCGUCUUAAGCAUGCAAGUCGAACGGCAAGGGUAGCUUGCUACCCCUAGAGUGGCGGACUGGUGAGUAACGCGUAGGUGAUGUACCUUUCGGAUGGGGAUAGCCAGUAGAAAUAUUGGAUAAUACCGAAUACGAUUUCAUAUCUUAGAAGUAUGAAAUGAAAAGAGCUAUGGCUCUGCCGAUAGAACGGCCUGCGUAAUAUCAGCUUGUUGGUGAGGUAACGGCUCACCAAGGCUAUGACAUUUAUCCGGCCUGAGAGGGUGAUCGGACACAUUGGGACUGAGAUACGGCCCAGACUCCUACGGGAGGCAGCAGCUAAGAAUAUUCCGCAAUGGACGAAAGUCUGACGGAGCGACACCGCGUGGAUGAUGAAGGCCGGAAGGUGUAAAUCCUUUGUGUAUGAGGAAUAAGUAUCGUAGGGAAUGACGGUAUGGUGACUGUAGUACAUGAAUAAG